rnacentral:rRNA from 1 species
AGAGUUUGAUCCUGGCUCAGGAUGAACGCUGGCGGCGUGCCUAAUACAUGCAAGUCGAGCGAACGGACGAGAAGCUUGCUUCUCUGAUGUUAGCGGCGGACGGGUGAGUAACACGUGGAUAACCUACCUAUAAGACUGGGAUAACUUCGGGAAACCGUAGCUAAUACCGGAUAAUAUUUUGAACCGCAUGGUUCAAAAGUGAAAGACGGUCUUGCUGUCACUUAUAGAUGGAUCCGCGCUGCAUUAGCUAGUUGGUAAGGUAACGGCUUACCAAGGCAACGAUGCAUAGCCGACCUGAGAGGGUGAUCGGCCACACUGGAACUGAGACACGGUCCAGACUCCUACGGGAGGCAGCAGUAGGGAAUCUUCCGCAAUGGGCGAAAGCCUGACGGAGCAACGCCGCGUGAGUGAUGAAGGUCUUCGGAUCGUAAAACUCUGUUAUUAGGGAAGAACAUAUGUGUAAGUAACUGUGCACAUCUUGACGGUACCUAAUCAGAAAGCCACGGCUAACUACGUGCCAGCAGCCGCGGUAAUACGUAGGUGGCAAGCGUUAUCCGGAAUUAUUGGGCGUAAAGCGCGCGUAGGCGGUUUUUUAAGUCUGAUGUGAAAGCCCACGGCUCAACCGUGGAGGGUCAUUGGAAACUGGAAAACUUGAGUGCAGAAGAGGAAAGUGGAAUUCCAUGUGUAGCGGUGAAAUGCGCAGAGAUAUGGAGGAACACCAGUGGCGAAGGCGACUUUCUGGUCUGUAACUGACGCUGAUGUGCGAAAGCGUGGGGAUCAAACAGGAUUAGAUACCCUGGUAGUCCACGCCGUAAACGAUGAGUGCUAAGUGUUAGGGGGUUUCCGCCCCUUAGUGCUGCAGCUAACGCAUUAAGCACUCGCCUGGGGAGUACGACCGCAAGGUUGAAACUCAAAGGAAUUGACGGGGACCCGCACAAGCGGUGGAGCAUGUGGUUUAAUUCGAAGCAACGCGAAGAACCUUACCAAAUCUUGACAUCCUUUGACAACUCUAGAGAUAGAGCCUUCCCCUUCGGGGGACAAAGUGACAGGUGGUGCAUGGUUGUCGUCAGCUCGUGUCGUGAGAUGUUGGGUUAAGUCCCGCAACGAGCGCAACCCUUAAGCUUAGUUGCCAUCAUUAAGUUGGGCACUCUAAGUUGACUGCCGGUGACAAACCGGAGGAAGGUGGGGAUGACGUCAAAUCAUCAUGCCCCUUAUGAUUUGGGCUACACACGUGCUACAAUGGACAAUACAAAGGGCAGCGAAACCGCGAGGUCAAGCAAAUCCCAUAAAGUUGUUCUCAGUUCGGAUUGUAGUCUGCAACUCGACUACAUGAAGCUGGAAUCGCUAGUAAUCGUAGAUCAGCAUGCUACGGUGAAUACGUUCCCGGGUCUUGUACACACCGCCCGUCACACCACGAGAGUUUGUAACACCCGAAGCCGGUGGAGUAACCUUUUAGGAGCUAGCCGUCGAAGGUGGGACAAAUGAUUGGGGUGAAGUCGUAACAAGGUAGCCGUAUCGGAAGGUGCGGCUGGAUCACCU